rnacentral:rRNA from 1 species
UACGAAGGGUGCAAGCGUUAUCCGGAUUCAUUGGGUUUAAAGGGUGCGUAGGCGGGGUGGUAAGUCAGUGGUGAAAUCCUGCAGCUUAACUGUAGAAUUGCCAUUGAUACUGCCAUUCUUGAGUACGCUGGAUGUGGGCGGAAUGUGCCGUGUAGCGGUGAAAUGCUUAGAUAUGGCACAGAACACCGAUAGCGAAGGCAGCUCACAACGGCGAAACUGACGCUGAGGCACGAAAGCGUGGGGAUCGAACAGGAUUAGAUACCCUGGUAGUCCACGCCGUAAACGAUGAUCACUCGUCAUUGGCGAUACACUGUCAGUGACCUAGCGAAAGCGUUAAGUGAUCCACCUGGGGAGUACGGCCGCAAGGCUGAA